AGAGUUUGAUCCUGGCUCAGAUUGAACGCUGGCGGCGUGCCUAACACAUGCAAGUCGAGCGGUAACAGGUGUAGCAAUACAUGCUGACGAGCGGCGAACGGGUGAGUAAUGCUUCGGAAUCUACCCAAUGGUGGGGAAUAACCAGCCGAAAGGUUGGCUAAUACCGCAUACGCUACGGGGAAGGACAGGGGAUCGCAAGG
rnacentral:rRNA from 1 species